AACGAACGCUGGCGGCAGGCCUAACACAUGCAAGUCGAGCGAGGACUUCGGUCCUAGCGGCGGACGGGUGAGUAACGCGUGGGAACGUGCCCUUUGCUUCGGAAUAGCCCUGGGAAACUGGGAGUAAUACCGGAUGAGCCCUUUGGGGGAAAGAUUGAUCGGCGAAGGAUCGGCCCGCGUUGGAUUAGGUAGUUGGUGGGGUAAUGGCCUACCAAGCCGACGAUCCAUAGCUGGUUUGAGAGGAUGAUCAGCCACACUGGGACUGAGACACGGCCCAGACUCCUACGGGAGGCAGCAGUGGGGAAUCUUAGACAAUGGGGUAAACCCUGAUCUAGCCAUGCCGCGUGAGCGAUGAAGGCCUUAGGGUUGUAAAGCUCUUUCAGCUGGGAAGAUAAUGACGGUACCAGCAGAAGAAGCCCCGGCUAACUCCGUG
rnacentral:rRNA from 1 species